rnacentral:rRNA from 1 species
GUGGGGAAUAUUGGGCAAUGGGCGAAAGCCUGACCCAGCAACGCCGCGUGAAGGAAGAAGGUUUUCGGAUUGUAAACUUCUGUCCUCAGGGAAGAAGGAAGUGACGGUACCUGAGGAGGAAGCCCCGGCUAACUACGUGCCAGCAGCCGCGGUAAUACGUAGGGGGCGAGCGUUGUCCGGAAUGACUGGGCGUAAAGGGCGCGUAGACGGCUGUCUAAGUCUGGAGUGAAAGUCCUGCUUUCAAGGUGGGAAUUGCUUUGGAGACUGGAUGGCUUGAGUGCGGAAGAGGUAAGUGGAAUUCCCAGUGUAGCGGUGAAAUGCGUAGAGAUUGGGAGGAACACCAGUGGCGAAGGCGACUUACUGGGCCGUAACUGACGUUGAUGCGCGAAAGCGUGGGGAGCGAACAGGAUUAGAUACCCCUGUAGUCC